AUUGAACGGGAGCUCAUUGAAGAACUUAGGGCAAGAAAACCCAAAAUUAGCUGGAUAGAAAACAGGGUCCAUGAUUUUUGGGCCAGUACACAGAAUUAGUUAGUAUUGACCCGAAAAGAGAAAAGGGGUUAAAAGGUGAGCUAGAGCUGAAGGAAGAGAAGGGGAACGGUGAAGUUAAUUAGGGUUGAAAGGUGCCCUGCGAGGCGGUGGCAAGUGAGUAAACUAGGGUUGAAAGGUGCCCUGCGAGGCGGUGGCAAGUGAGUAAACGCAACCCAGUUAUGGAAUGGGAAUAAAUAUCCGAUCCUGAGACUAAUGAGUUUUUGAAUCUGUUUAGUGCGAGAACCAGUAUGGUUGGAUUGCUCAAGGUAGAAAUGAAUCAAUGAUGUCUUUAACGAGCAGAGAUGAUUUUAUCAUAUCAUUGUGCUGAGUUUCUUAUAACUUUUUAGUUUCAUUACCCCUCUCCCGCCCAGGUGCUGCGAAGCGAAGCUAUUAAGAUGUUAUGAUACCACUCUUCUGCAUUUGUUGUUGUAUAAAGUAUUCAACAGAAGCCACUAGUCCAAGUGACCAGCAGUCCAGCAGUAACUGCUGCAACCUGUUUGUUAUGUUCAUUCUCGAGAAAGUUGUACUAUAUCUAUAAAUUCUUUGUAAAUCACCCGAGACAGUGACCAAUUCUUUCAAUAUUCGACUUAUUUUGAUAAUCACCAAUUCACCAUCACACUCGUAAAAUUCACUUGCUAAUUCGCUUGUCCAGGUUUAAGUAAGGUUUGUAACAAUUCUUACUAGAGUGUAAAAUUUACAU